CUGGAGGUAUCAGAAGUGCGAAUGCUGACAUAAGUAACGAUAAAGCGGGUGAAAAGCCCGCUCGCCGGAAGACCAAGGGUUCCUGUCCAACGUUAAUCGGGGCAGGGUGAGUCGACCCCUAAGGCGAGGCCGAAAGGCGUAGUCGAUGGGAAACAGGUUAAUAUUCCUGUACUUGGUGUUACUGCGAAGGGGGGACGGAGAAGGCUAUGUUGGCCGGGCGACGGUUGUCCCGGUUUAAGCGUGUAGGCUGGUUUUCCAGGCAAAUCCGGAAAAUCAAGGCUGAGGCGUGAUGACGAAGCACUACGGUGCUGAAGCAACAAAUGCCCUGCUUCCAGGAAAAGCCUCUAAGCAUCAGGUAACAUCAAAUCGUACCCCAAACCGACACAGGUGGUCAGGUAGAGAAUACCAAGGCGCUUGAGAGAACUCGGGUGAAGGAACUAGGCAAAAUGGUGCCGUAACUUCGGGAGAAGGCACGCUGAUAUGUAGGUGAAGUCCCUUGCGGAUGGAGCUGAAAUCAGUCGAAGAUACCAGCUGGCUGCAACUGUUUAUUAAAAACACAGCACUGUGCAAACACGAAAGUGGACGUAUACGGUGUGACGCCUGCCCGGUGCCGGAAGGUUAAUUGAUGGGGUCAGCGCA
rnacentral:rRNA from 1 species